CCUACGGGAGGCAGCAGUGGGGAAUCUUGCGCAAUGGGCGAAAGCCUGACGCAGCCAUGCCGCGUGGAUGAUGAAGGUCUUAGGAUUGUAAAAUCCUUUCACCGGUGAAGAUAAUGACUGUAGCCGGAGAAGAAGCCCCGGCUAACUUCGUGCCAGCAGCCGCGGUAAUACGAAGGGGGCUAGCGUUGCUCGGAAUUACUGGGCGUAAAGGGAGCGUAGGCGGACAUUUAAGUCAGAGGUGAAAUCCCGGAGCUUAACUUCGGAACUGCCUUUGAUACUGGGUGUCUUGAGUGUGAGAGAGGUAUGUGGAACUCCGAGUGUAGAGGUGAAAUUCGUAGAUAUUCGGAAGAACACCAGUGGCGAAGGCGACAUACUGGCUCAUUACUGACGCUGAGGCUCGAAAGCGUGGGGAGCAAACAGGAUUAGAUACCCUGGUAGUCCACGCCGUAAACGAUGAUUGCUAGUUGUCGGGAAGCUUGCUUCUCGGUGACGCNGCUACGCAUAAGACAUCCGCCGUCGGGAGGUACGGUCGCGAGAAUUAAACUACAAGAAGUAGUAGACGNGAGAGAGCGACGACGACGACGACGGAGGAGGAGG
rnacentral:rRNA from 1 species